CAGUCGCCGCGGUAAUACGAAGGGGGCUAGCGUUACUCGGAAUUACUGGGCGUAAAGCGUGCGUAGGUGGUGGUUUAAGUCCGUUGUGAAAGCCCUGGGCUCAACCUGGGAAUUGCAGUGGAUACUGGAUCACUAGAGUGUGGUAGAGGAUAGUGGAAUUCCCGGUGUAGCAGUGAAAUGCGUAGAGAUCGGAAGGAACAUCUGUGGCGAAGGCGACUAUCUGGGCCAACACUGACACUGAGGCACGAAAGCGUGGGGAGCAAACAGGAUUAGAUACCCCCGUAGUCCCUGUCUCUUAUAC
rnacentral:rRNA from 1 species